ensembl:lncRNA
UGAAUAUACAACUUUUUUAUUAUGAGUAUACAAACCCUUUCUAUUACAAAUAUUAAACCUUCAUACUUCAACUCAGUGGCGGCUGGCCAAUAGAAAACAGUGAGGCGUCGCCCCACCUUCUGCGUCCCUCCUUGAGCUCAAGAAAACAAAAAGAAAGGAAAAUAGAAUAUUAAAUUAUAAAAAAUGUCAAUAUUUGAAUUUUUAAAACAUUGAAUGUACCCGUAAUAUUUGUAAAAUAUGAUAUCAGCGCAGAAUAACUGCUUUUCCUGCACGUCCUGCCUGUCACACGCACGUCCCAUCUUCAUGUGUGUUCUGGCUUCACAUGGUUGCCCGCAGAAGGCGGGUCUAAGAAUCAAUUCAGCCAAUUGCUGAUUAAUUAAUAGUGGGUGACAUACACUUCAGCCAAUCAGCAUCAUUAAUAUAUGCCCCCAAGCUUGCACAUUCUCGUCAAGGCUGGUAUCGACAGGCAGAUGACAUUUCGGAGGAAGCAACGAGCACAGAUUUUUUUAACUGUCAAGCAGACAAGACGACUGACAUAUAUAGAUUAAUAUUAUUAUAUAUAUAGAUUAUAAUAUACUAAUUUGCCCGUGAAGGUGACAAAAAUAAGAUUGUCAAAGUGGUAUUUACUGCUUGUUUCAUGUUGGAACAAAUAAUACUAAAAAAUCUCCUAAAUUGAUUCAAUUGCCCUACCUAGAACAUUUUACCCCAGCCGCCGCUGCUUCUAGUUUAGUCACACUACUAGUACAUUUUUACAUACUUCUGCCAGUAGUACUACUUCAACCACUACUCAUACUUCUAUGACUAGCACUACAUCUACCAAUAUGAAUGCUUUAUUUUAGGCCUACUGCUACUAGGACAUUACUUCUGUCCCGUGUACUUCUAAUUCUACUGGUAUGACUCUUACUUACUGGACCCAUUUACACUAAUACUCUACUACUACGGCUGCUUAUAGAAGGUCUAUUACUACUGGUAGUACUAGCCUUAAUAGUACUGCUAGUCUGGACCGUAAGUCUGAAAUACAAGUUUGACUGAUUGAAUAGUUUAGAGUUUAGUCACUUUAAAGUGCUGCAUUUGGAGGCAGGAGAGUAUAAGGAGGGUUAGGGGGGGUGAGGAAACACAUUUCUACCAGACCACGAGACACAAACUCAUCAUACCAUGUAUGUGUGUGUGUGCGCGCGCGUGUGUGUGUCUUUCUCCCACUUCCUUGUCUCACUUCUUCUUUGUCGAGGACUAUGGGAGUGGUUAGGGAACUGGUUACCAUGGCAACAUGUUCACAUCAACCGCUGUGAGUGGUCGUAUUAAGUCUAGUAGUAAUGGUAGUACUGGUGGUAGUGGACCUUCUAUAAGUAGUAGUAGUAAUAUUAGGCAUAUUACAGUACAAAGCAUUAAAUAAAAUAAAAUACACAGUAAUACACUGUAUACACAGUGUAUUACAGUAAUACACAGUAAUACACUGUAUACAGAAUAUUUCUUAUUAAUAUUAACUUAAACUUGACUCAAUAAAAUAUUAGAAACAUUUCAAUUAUUGUGACGAAACGUUUUAUUUAGAUCGUUAUAGAGAAAAGUGAUAAUCUCUGCAAAGAUGAAUAGAUAAACUCACGCAUCAAGACCUUCCACUUCCUACCACACAAUGUGACAAUUGUCAAGGUAAGAACAGACUCCUCCCCUCUUGUCUUUAUAAAUCAUAUCCCGCAAUAUUAAGUUGAGUGUUUUAUGUCUAUCUAUUUUUGUAUAUCUAUAACUAGAUGCAUGUUAUGGAGGAAUGUAAGAUUACCUAAACUAUAAGAACCUGUAAAAUUUCUGGCUAUGCUAUUGCAAAUAAAAUUAAUUGAAUGUAGUAUUCAUAUGGCUGAUAUUCCUUGAAAAUCUGAUAUUACUAGUUAUUAAUUCAAGUAUCUCGUAAUGUUUUUAUACAGCGCUCAUUAUGUCUUUUUAUUCAGGUGCAUAGAUAAUCAAAACUCAAGUAUCUUGAUUAAUAGAUGGCAUUAUUCAAAGUAGUAAGUUUGAGUCUGAGUUUGACUACUGACUACAGUAAUACAGUACGAUGGAACAACUGAUCCUGAGUCAGCCAACCAAAGGCUCUACACAUGUAAGGUGAAAAGUUCCUUGAAGUGUAUGGUUAAUAUUUUGUGGAUGUAAAUAGUCAACAGUUCAUGAAACUUAAUGGUAAACAUUUAAUGGAAGUUAAUGGUAAAUAGUUUAUGGGCGUUGAUGGUCUGGAGUUAAUGGAAGUUCUCCUCAAUAGUUCAUUGAAGUUAAUGAUCAAUAUUUAAUUGAAGUUAAUGGUUAAUAGUUCAUGGAAUAUAAUAGUCCAUAGUUCAUGGAAGGAAAUGCUAAACAGUUCAUGGUGAAGUGCAUUAUAUAUUAUAUUUCAAUAAUCAUUUGAGCCUCUGGCUUAUGAUUUUAAAGGUAGAUUCAUGACAGAAAUAUCACUGUAUGUUUUAAAUUUGAAUAAAGAAAUAUUCUAAAUGUUCUUUGAUGUUUAUUAAUUGUUUUUAUGUCGUUCAUAAACUAUAACUUGGUUGACUUAAAAAAGAAAAACUUUAAAAAAUGUGUUAAUAAAACAAGAUGCUUGGUUAAGUUAACUUUUAAGAUGUUUACAUAAUGUAUACUUUAUGUAAACACUUUUUUCAUGUUUCAUGUACAAUUCAAGAAGUCAAUACAAGUUUGUUGCGCAAACUAGUAGUUUUAAGUUGUCUCAACCAUGAUUUUUUACAUUUUUACAUCAAAUACGUUUUUUACAUUUUGAAAUGUAUUGCAGGUAUCAAUAAAAACGUGUUGGUUAAAUUCAAAUACCGUAGUCACCUCAACUAUUCAUUCUAAGUUAAAGAACCAAAUCUUUUAUAAACUUAACAUUUUGAGGCAGUCAGGUUACUCAUUAUUUUAAGGUGAACAAAGCUCACUAUUCUUCACAGUGAGUAUAUAAAACAUGCGUAAAGCAAUAAAUAUAUGGUUGUAGUGUUUUCACCCAUUGGCUGAGACACCAUCAAAGAGAACACACAUUUAACAACUUUGCUUUAAAAAUCCGUGGAACGGGAUUUCUGGAGUUCUAACUUCAGUCGUCUUCACUGCAGGUGAUCACCAUGACAUCCCGCCCGCUUCCAUGAUGAUGGACGCCGCCCAGUCACCUGACCAAUCUAACGCCAGCCCCGCCCCCCGGGUGUCGGAGCCGUUACAGGAACAGUCGGACACGCUGUGGAGGAAGGAGGUCCUGGACCUGCUCACACAGCUGGUCCUGGUCCAGAAGGAGAUGGCCCAGCAUCAGGUUCAGGUGGUGCAGCUGCUCAACAUGCUGGGAACUCAGGGCUCUCAGCAGAUCCUGGAUCUGCAGAACAUGGCUCGUCACCAGAGUCUGCUGGUUGAGAACCAUCAAGCUUUACUUCUGCAGACGUCUCGCAUCUCCACACAGCUGCAGGAGAUCAACAGGAAACCUGCCUCCUGCCAAUGAGAUCCUCUGGUUAUUUACUUGCAAGCAAUGGGAUCUUCUGGUGCUCAACUGGCAGGCAAUGGGAUUGUCUAAUUCUUCACAGAUCCUAUGCACUCUAAUCAUUACUAAUGAUUAACAGUGUGAUGAUAGAUAUAAACUUUAACCAAACAUUUAUUAAAAAAAAUUACAACAUUUUAGAAUCAAAUAAUUGAUUUCUAUGUUUCAUUAAAUAACCUUAAAAGUGAACUGCUGCUUUCUUUUCACCUGAAGCAAUCAGCUUCUUUUGUUAUAAUGUGUUGUAUGUUCUGAUGUUUCUAUUAAUAAAUUACAUCUUGUUUGAUUAUCUUUCUGGUGGUUGCGUUUCUGUGUACUGCAGUACAUAAAGUUGUGUACUGGUUCUCUGAGAC